rnacentral:rRNA from 1 species
UACGUAGGGGGCAAGCGUUGUCCGGAUUUAUUGGGCGUAAAGAGCGUGUAGGCGGCCAGGUAGGUCUGCUGUGAAAACUCGAGGCUUAACCUCGAGCUGUCGGCGGAAACCAUCUGGCUAGAGUCCGGAAGAGGAGAAUGGAAUUCCCGGUGUAGCGGUGAAAUGCGCAGAUAUCGGGAAGAACACCCGUGGCGAAGGCGGUUCUCUGGGACGGUACUGACGCUGAGACGCGAACGCGUGGGGAGCGAACAGG